AAAAAGACAAACCCUAGGUUUCCGUGUCCAACGUUUGACCGUCCGUCUUAUUUGAAAAAAUUAUAAAAAAUUUAAAAAAGACAAGUCACGCAUAAAGUAUUAAUCAUGUUUUAUCAUCUAACAACAAUGAAAAUACUAAUUAUAAAAAAAUUUCAUAUAAGACGGACAGUCAAACGUUGGACACGGAAACCCAGGGUUUGUUUUUUU
rnacentral:pre_miRNA from 1 species